UCGUAUAGAGCACAGCCAACCG
rnacentral:miRNA from 1 species